rnacentral:rRNA from 1 species
CAGCAGCCGCGGUAAUACGUAGGGUGCAAGCGUUAAUCGGAAUUACUGGGCGUAAAGCGUGCGCAGGCGGUUUGCUAAGACAGAUGUGAAAUCCCCGGGCUCAACCUGGGAACUGCAUUUGUGACUGGCAAGCUAGAGUGUGGCAGAGGGGGGUGGAAUUCCGCGUGUAGCAGUGAAAUGCGUAGAUAUGCGGAGGAACACCGAUGGCGAAGGCAGCCCCCUGGGCCAACACUGACGCUCAUGCACGAAAGCGUGGGGAGCAAACAGGAUUAGAUACCCCAGUAGUCCCUGUCUCUUAUAC